AGAAGAGUCUCCCAUUUUCUCAUCAUAUGGCCUUCCACAUUAGCACCUCACUCUCACAAAAUUCCACAUCAUUCCCUCGUUAUUGUUUGCUGCGGCAGUUCUAAGGGUGGAAGUUUAAACAUCUCAACCUCUCAUGAUCUUACAGUUACAUAUUCUUUACUUUCUCUGGCCAUCCACGUUCCAAACUGCUUGCAGCAAUAAUGACCUGUUAUAAUGCCUUGCAUAUUUAUCUGUCACUUUCUUUCUUCUUCUUUCCAUGUUUUCUAAAAGAAUGUUAGUGCAGCCCCAUUAUUCUUCUUCUCCUUUCACGAUUGAUUCAUGUUCUUCCGCCUCCAUUCAUGUUCUUCAGUGUGUCCGCGAUUUCGAUUGGCUUCUGCUUUCAUUUUUGUAUGUUGUUGUUUUUGUGUGUUGUGCGAUGAACACGGUUUGAUGAUGUUGCUGAGAGGUUUCAUUCGCGUUUGAACAUGUGGUGUUCGGUUUUGAAUGUUUGAUGAUGAAUGUUGAGUUGAAACAACUCUGAAUCGGCAAAGCUGGGUGAGAUCUUUCUGAGUUUAUGCUAUUUUCUUUUUAAUCUCUCUUUUUCACUCACAAACUUUCUGCUUUAUUUUCUCCAUUCAAAUCUGAUUUAGGUGUAUUAAUGUUGCUUAAUUUAGUUUUAUUUUUCGAAUCAAUUAAUAGGCCACCAAGUGUUUGUUAUAAUGAUUGAAGAUUGGUGGAGAAUGGAAGAGAAUCGAUUCAAGAUUGAAGGUGUUAUGAGAUUGAAAUCGGUGAUGGUGAUUAAGGACAGAAAUGUGGAGAUAUGGAGGAGGAUUCUAGAAUCGUGGUGCUUCAGAACAAGUUCAAUAAGCAUGGAAAUCUUCUUGCUGUUAGUACAACAGAUAGCGGUGUUAAAAUUCUUGCUAAUGCAGAGGGUUUAAAUCCAUGAGGCGCGUCGAUGCUACUGAUCCAAAGCUUUGUAUCUGAUUUAAUUCGGCAGCAUGAUUAAUGUUUUGUUUCAAUAUUAAGUUGGUGGAAUUGCUGCCGGCUAUGACCUCACUAUCAAGGCUGUAGAAUCUGGAAAGGUGAUCGUAGACGACAUAUGUAUAGGUCUUACUUUUUGCGAUUAUGAGGUUUUAAAAAAGGUCCAUGACUGCGAAAACCUCUGCGACAACGAUAGUAGUGCUUCUCCGCCUUUGUCACAUGAAACCAAUCAAAAACCAGUAAGCAGUACAUCCAGAUUAAGAAGUAAUUCAAUGGUACAUAUUCGGAGACGAUGCGUACUUCAAAGGAAAAACCAGUAAGCAGUACAUGCAGCUUCUGCGUUGCGGAUCGUUGAUGCGUGUUGCUGAGUUCUUCGCAGGUUCGGAGAUGACGGUUUUUCUUAUGAUAUUUAUCAGAAUCGUUGUUGUUGAGUUGUAGGUCGGUGUAUGGAUCUUUUCACAAAGUCACAGAAAGAUGAAUAAGUUUGUAUGAAGCUCUUUUGUUGCGAUUGUCGUGAACGGUGAUGUUGCAGAUAUUUGGAAGUUUAAUGAAGGUGAUGGAAUGGAGUUGAAGUCUACAAGUUUCUAAACAAUGAAGGAAGAUGGUGAUAUGAAUGUUGGAGGAAGUUUUUUCUAUCAAGUUUUCGGCAUAGUUUCGGAGGAAGUAUUAACAAAAACCAAAUGAAUAUUUGAUUGUUUUCAACAAGAGUAGGAAAAUAUGUCAUUAUCAUGUAACAGCAAAAUAUGACUAAGCUGUGUUAUGCUUUGGUGAAUAGGUCUACUUAACUUAGGUUAAUGUUUUGUCAUACUUAUGUAUAAACUCUAAGGUUGACCCUGUGAAUAUUAUGAAUGAUAACCACUAGCUGCACCACCUUACCUCUGCAACAUACAUUCGACUAAACCGCUCCGAUCCGUGACCUCCAUCCGUUUGCCACACUCAACGCGACAAGAUAAUUUCACAACAGGAAGUUCGAUCAUAACCACAAAACAAAAAGGAACAGUUUGAAUCAGUUCUAUACUGCUACCGCUUUGGAAUUUCUCACCACCCCCCUUAGGUUGCAUCGUUUCCUUCUCUCGGUCCAUGAUUGUUGCAGUUCAAUUUGAUCAUUUGAUAGCAAUUAUAUAUGAUUGAUUGUGUGUUUGUGUUGUUAAAUCUAUGAGUAAAAAGUAAUUUAUUUAUUUUUACACUUGAUGAAUCCAUG